GAGCUGCACGAGUGGGAAGGGAAGCCCGGGACACUGGAUGGCAGGGGGAGAGGAAUGAGCCUGGAGGAGAGGCUUGAGCAAAAGGGUCAGAGGGGCUUUCUGGAGGAGGGAAGACAUUCAUGAGAAGUCCUCAGCUCUUGCAGGGAGUGAUUCUCGCACUCAGCACGCUCCGAUUACCAGAGUGACCUGAGCAGCUGCCUCGCGUCUCCUCGUCGACGGAGCCCAUAGGCGAGUGACACGAGAGGAGGCUGCAGGCAGGCCUUCCCCCCACUGUUCUGCAGCCCUGCUGUCCCCCCAGCCACUCUGGCUCCCCUCACGGCAAGGGAGCCUGGGGGCAGAGGGUGGACGGAUUUGUUGGCUUGAUUCGCAUGAUGUAUCAAUUACUUCAUGAGGUGUGAGGUACAUUCUGGAGGAGCGGGAGCCCACCUGCCCCAGCCCUUUGCAGAAGGACCCGCCCGGGAGGGAGGUAGUUUACCCCACCCCAGGGAAGAGGAACUCAUUGAGAAGAGCCCCACACUCCCCUCGAUGGGGGCAGAGACUCUAAUGUUUUCUGAGGGGUUCAGCAGUGCCAGGAGAGAGAUGCACUGCUGUGCACGUAAUAAACGGUUCAUGCCAUUCUUCACUUCCGCAGAGGGUUAUAAACACACUGUGUUGAUAGGUCUUCUAGCUCUUUAAGAGAACGUUAAGAUUCAAAAUCUGUUGUGGAAUCUCCCAGGUUUUAAAUGUUGGCAACUAGGUCAAGUUUUUAAAAGAAUGUUGUGUAGUUUAAAUGGAAUGCAUCCAGGAACCCUGCCUGACCCACUCACUGGCCAGGAGGUGGGAGUGGUGCUAAGCAUGGACCCCGCUUUCCAGCGCUCAGUCUGCUCCAUUCCCAGAGGUGCCAGCAUGGGAGGCCCCUCCAUUCCAGAAGGGAGCAGCCUCAGGACCCCGGAUCCCAAAGGGCAGGGCGCCAUCCUUUAGGGCCCAACCGGCAUUUUUCAAAUGCUCGUCCAGGGAAACUAGUUCCAAGAGCUGUUGGUAGACGUUCCUUAUUUAUGGGCUAACACUCAGAAUCUCUGGGUUCAACACAGCAAAACAGACUUCUUUAUUGCAGGAGUUGCCCAAGCCUUUAACAUGUAACAAAGUGCCUCGUGAAUUUCCAGGAGGUGAGGCAUAUGCAGUGCUUCUCAAAAUAUUUCCACGUGGAACUCACUUUUAAUGCACACCCAUUAACUCUGCAAAAGAUACUACCACUCCAUAGAAUGUGGUUCUGGAAGUGUGCCUCACCACACUCUUACCCAUUCCUCAGACCCAACAUCCCAGGGUGGCUGUAGCAUAAGCAUGGGGGGUAGGAAGAGUGGCAAAGGGGAAGCUGGGACCAGAAGGCACUAGUCAAGAGCAUGGCUUUGUCUUGAGGGCAGAGUGUUAAGCCAGGAGGGACCUGGGGGACUAAAAGGUAAGCGCUCGUUGCUCAGACACCAGACCAAAGGAGAGGGACCCGGCCAGAGGUAGGGAAAGUGCUCCAGAGUGGCCAAGUCCCAGGACUAAAUGGUCAGGACUCGGUGGCUGGAAGGCUGCAGGGAAUGCAGGGGAAGGAGGCAGUGAGGACGAAACCAAAAGAGGGGCUAAAUGGACAGAGGCCAGACUGAGGCUUCCCUCCGUAUGCCCUGCCCCACUGCCCGUCUCAUAAGGGAGCCAGGCUCAGGCAAACUUAAGCCACCUGUGGUUCCCAUGGCAACCGCGGGAGAGAAGCAGCUGGGCAAGCAGAGACAGAGAAGUGAGUGGGGAGGGGCUGCUGUCCUGAUCCACGCCCUGUGGGACCCAGGAGUUCAGACCCUGGCCACCCCACCCCCCAGGCAGCUGAUAGUGGCCAAAGGGUGGCCAGGAGAGAAAGGCAGGGCCCUGCCUGCUACUGCCCCCCGAGACUCCUGUUCCCAGAGCCCAGUUAAGAGGAUGAUCCAAGUUCUUGCUGCUGCAGUGAACCCCAACAUCGCUCUGGUCCAGCCUGUGUCCACUGACGCUCAGCAGCCCUUGUCCCUACCUCUAGGAGGAAAGGCAGGGGCGAUCCCCAUGACUGUUUCUCUGCUGCCCGCGCAGCCACAAAGCUAAUUUUAGCCCUGACAUCAGGCUGCAGCCAGGGGCAUUGGGUUGGAGAGGGCUGUGUGUCCGCCCAGUUCUAAAUGCUGGGAGCUCUGAAGGCCCUGGGUGGCCAGAGGGAGGACUGGAUGGCGACUGUCCUGACCCCUAGGCCCGUAUCUGCCACACAGGCAGAUACUCCCACCCCCACCGCUCACCUCCCUCUAGGACUUCCUGCUCUCCUGGGGACCCACACCCGGACAACAGCCACACCCUUAGCCAGACACACAGGCCCUCCAAGAGCUGGCCCUGCCCACUUUUGGGUUAUUCCCAUUGCUCUGGGCUCUCUUUCUGACCUAGUUAGGCUGGUUAGUAGUUAGCUGCCCCCACCCGCACACAGAGCCAAUAUGCUGUACAAUCUAUGUCCAUACAGAUAGGAUGCUUCCAGCAACCCCAGAACCACAUGCUAAAAUCCUACUGUGGUUCAGAUCAAAUAUCACCCCUUCCAUUAAGCAUUCCCCCAUGCCUUAGUCAGAGCUAAAUUCACCCGCCUCUGUGCACCCGACCUCCUUGUAUCCCUCUAUGAGGCUAUUUGUGCACACACUGUCUCCCACGUGAGGCUCUAAGCCCCUGAGAGUCCUGUUCAUCUGUUUGCCCCAUAAACCCAGCAUGAUGCUUGGCAUACGGUCAGCAUUGCUGGGGCCUGGAGAGGGUGGAGGGUGAGCGUGGCCUCUUAAGAGGGGAAAGAAGCGGCCGAUCCCAGCUCAGCCACUAGUUUGCCCUAUAGUGAUGGUGGCUGCCCCCACUCCCGAUCCACAGUAAGAAGACUGCCCACUUCCGGCCCGAUGGCUCCCUCUGAGAAUCACCCGGGAGUAGGCCUAAAUGUCUGACCCCAGAGGACAUUCGCUGACCUCUGGCCUGGCGGGAAACGACUCAGGCCAGACACUCCCACUAAGUAACUUGACCUGAGACCUUCCACAUGAUGUAGUCAGUUCACGACUGAGGCAGAAGCCAAGAGCGUGUGUCUGGAGCGGCCAGGAUGUAGACACAGUGCCACCGUGGAGAUGAGGAGCAGACAAGGACAGAAGGGACGGUUCUGCAGCCCCAGCCUCAGCCGCAGCCCUCCCUCCACAGACACCCCACCCAGCCAUCCAGUCCCACCUGGCCCCACUCCCACCCCUGUUCUGUGUCCAGGCCCUGCGCCACAAUGCCUCGCGUGUUCGUGAUGUUGCUACAGUGCCCAUGACCCCCAUAAUCACGCUCCCAGGCAACCUAGGUGACUGCCCAGCUUAGGGCGGGGAAGCCUCGGGGACCCUAGAAGGACCACAGCACAGAGAACGCUCUGUGCCCUCCCAUGCCUUUCUCUGCUGUGGGAAGGUGGGCUCCCUGAACACGGCCGUGGGCCCUACAUCCCAGCUCACAGGAGAAGACACCCCUCGGGACUACAGGCCGCAGGGGUCAAGGGACCUUGUGCCCAUGCUCCGGCUCUGGGAGAGACAGUGAGUUGCCUCUCAGGGCCUCUACUUGCCAGCCCACAGAGAAGGGUCCAGAUAAGCCAGCGAGGAGUGAGGCACCCACCUGAGGGCCAUGGCCUCCUCUGUCCAACCUGAUGCCAAGACCCUGCUGCUUAACCUCCUAGGCUGGGGGCUACGGAUGUACUAGGCUGGGGCAGGAUAUGUGGUGGCCACCACUGGUCAUGUGAUUUUUCUCCCUGGGCCUCACUUUCCCCUUGUGUGAGUUCCUGAGGGCAGGACCUAUGGUGGCUUCUGUUUCCCAGUCCGGGAGCUGCCACAGGCAGGUUUGGAGCUCCUCUGAUUGAUUCUAUCCAAGCUCACGGGGCUGAGUGCACACCGGGCCUGACACGACUGUGUUUCCUCCCUCCUGUGUCAGAAGAUGCUGGAAGAGGGGAAGGUGGGAGAGGGCCUGGAGGCCUAGGAUGGAGCAGGCCCAGGAAUGACCAGACUUGCCCCACCCUCACCCCCACAGCCAUCCCCGAAGAGCCAUUUCUCCAGGAGAAGGGACCCAGGUGGCAGCCGGCGGUCAUAAAGCCGUCUCGGAAAGGCUCCUGAUGGCCAAACGGCAAACGCUCCAUCACUCAGCACCGCGUGGUUGCAGCACAUUACACCGGCCCCGCGGAGACGUUCCUCUUCCACCUGGCUUGCCAGUUUGGGGGCUUCCGAGUGGGGCCUGGACCCAGAGCCUCUCCAGAGCCCCCGUCUCCAUCUGCAGGCCCACAAGCCCCAGGGGGAAGUGGAGGGAACGAAGGGCCAGGCCAGCCUCUCCUUGGAGCCUCAGGACCAACUCAGAGACAGGGUCAGUCCCCUUCCCCUUCUUUACAGAACAGCAGCCAAGCCUCCGAGAGGUUGGGUGCCCGGGACAGGCUCACACAACAUCCUCUUUAGGCCGGGAUUCCUCCAUCCAUGUCCCCAGGGGGGUGACCCCCUCCUGACCAGCCCACAGAUAUCCCAAUCUCCAGAUACUUCUGUGUAUGUCUUAGGGUCUGCCUCAUCCUGUCUCAGAUUCUCUAAAUUCCUCUGUGUCUCUGGGCCUGUCUGGCUCUCAUGGGCUCAGUCUCAGGCUCUCAGGUCUUUCUCUGUCUCUUUCACCCCUGGUGCCUGUGUCUCUGUCUCACUCCUAUGCCCCAUCCCUCCUUUCCUGCCUCACAUGCUUUCUCUCUGAGUCCCUGUCCUUGUCCACCCCUGUCUCCCUAACUUCGUCAUGGGGCCGAGAUCAGGAGUGGGAUGGCAGGAGCUGUCCUGGUGUCCAGGAGGGGCCUCCUUGGGUGGUCAUGUCUCCCCCCCGGCCUGGCCCUGAGAAAGGAGGGCCCCUGAGCCACGGACCCACAGAGCACAGGUGGGGCUGAGGUAGGGAGUUUCCGGGAGCAGAUUUCUACUCUGUGGAAGUGAGAGAUGGGGUGAACCCCUCAUCCCCAGAGCCAUGCAGCGGGCCCUGCAAGGAGAUUUCUGCAUACGUCCAACCAUCAGACCUUGAAGGGCCCGUCUGGUUUUGGUGAUGGGACUGAGUGAUGGGGUCCCUGGGCCUGCUCUGAACUGAAAGGGUUAAUGCCUGGCCCCUGAGAGCUUCUUGAACAUGCUCCUCCUCCUGCUCCUUCACCUUAACCUCUCCAGCUAGCCCCUUUUCUCCUCCCUCUCUCCCCCUCUUUCCCCCUCUCUCCCCCUUUCUCCCUCUGUCUCUCUCCAUCCAUCCAUUCCUCUCUCCCUCUUUUCCUCCCUCUCUCUGUCACCAACGAUAAGAAUUAAUUAAAUAUGUCCUCAGCUCCGGUCUCCUCACUUGCCCCAGGGAAUUAACCAGCCCCAGCACCUCAGGCCUUGUUAGAUUCCAGGAAAAACAUAACGCUUGCCCUCUGCAGCAUGUACGUGUGCGUGUGGGGGUCCCUGCACACGAAGAAGUACACACAGUGCCCACAGGGGCAUGCCGCGUGCUAUUGCGUGUUUCCAUGUCUGGUCUGCUGGUUCGUCCACACGCACAGGUCUGGAGACGCCGGUCAGGAUGUUUAUGUGGAUACUUUCAUGAGUGUGCUAGUAUGGAUGAGGGUCUGCGUUCCCUACGGACAUCUGCACGCGUGCAUUGUAUGUCUUUGCACUUAAGUCCACCUCCCUGUGGACAUGUGUCUAUCGAAUCUGUGUGCUUGUACAGUGUGUCUGGGUAUGUGCAUUACCGUGCAAAUCUGUUUGGACAAAGACCUAUACGUCUCUGUGUUGUGCGUGCAUGUGUGCAUGUGCACAUCUAACAGUAUCGUGUGCUGGUGGGUGAGCGUGUCUGCAUGCUAAUGUGUGUGUGUGUGUGUGUGUGUGUGUGUGCAGUGUACCUACACCCUGGCCGCCCUGCACACGUCACCUUCCUGUCUCCCUGGGAGCCAGCGGCCCUGUCUCCAGCAAGAGACCUUGUGCUGCAUCUCUGGGGUGAUGACGGUGGAGUCAGUGGCAGUGGCAGUACAGGUGGCAGGAGCCCAGAGGUAGGAAGGUGGAGGUGGUGCAGGGGAAGGCACCUGCUAAUGAGGCCACCUUCCUUGCCGGGCCUGGGAGCCAGUACCACUAAUUAUCGCCUCAGUAAGCAGCUCCCCAGGGAAGGGCUGCUGUGGAGCCCUGCGCCCCUCCUUCCCUUGGGACCCCUUCUCCACCUCCUCCCUGGACCUGAAGACACUGCAGGAGCCCUGGGCACCAAGAAGAAGGACAAAAAGAGAGGGGAGCCAGUAGCUCGUCCCACCAGGGGACCCAGGAUGCCUGCCUGCCUGCCCAUCAGCCUGCUGCCAGGAAGCCCACCUUUUAACAUACUCCUCUGUGUCUCCAAAAGGCCUCCGGGAAUUCAAAUGUCCUUCUGGGGAAGUGAAGGCCUCCACACCCUGACCAGUCAUUCCCUCCACAAACAACAAGCAUACUUCUGUAAAGUGAGCACUAAACUGGGAGUCAAGUGGGCCAGAUGAUAAUCCCAGCACUGUGUGACCUUGGGCAAGUUCCUAUACCUCUCUGGGCCUUGGUGUCCUUGUCUGAAAAAUAGAAGAGGACUAGAGCCACUUUUCUCAAAGAAUGACAUAUGCAUCAUUGGUGAGACACAAGACUAUUUUUGAUAGUACAGAGAAAUGGGCAUCUGCUAUUUUAACUAUGUAUUUUCAUGUGUAUGUUCUCACAUAUGUGUGCAUAUGUGUGUAUUUAACUAGCACAUCAGACCCCUGAUUUCACAAACAUUGCUUCAGACAAGGCUAAAACACACAUUUAAAUUUUAAAAGUGAGCCAGUUUAAGGAAAAAUGUUAAGUGAGAGUAAAGACUGGCAUCUGAGUAUGACAACGGUCCUGGUGGAAGCUGAUGAGUGACUCCAGCCCCGGGUCAGAGGGUCCCUGAGAACUUCCAUCUCUGAGAGGCAGUGGGUUCAAGGCCUCAAGCCCCCUGGAAUGAGAAAUACGCAGACUGCUCCUUGGUUCCCACUCUUGUCCUCAUCGUCACUACGACAGACCGCCACGUGGAACAGCAGAAGUUGCUAUGGGGUAAGUGGGACAGUCCCUCCUGGCCACAGGCCCCCACGAGAUCUCAGAUGACACAGGCAGUGUCCACACAUGUGGCCCCUGGGGCGGAUCGGGCCAGUUAGGCCAGGGCAGGGAAAUGGCACAUGGUAAAGGCAGAGGUCACAGGGGUCUGAGCAGAGAUGGCUCCGGCUGGGCCUGAGGUGCUCUGGGGACUCAGUAGCCACAUCUCCUGUGGAACCUAGGGAGGAGGCUGUCUGAGCACCCCAGGCCAGUGAUUAAGGUAUUCCACCUGCCCUGCCCAGGGAAGAGCAGCCUGUCCCACAGCCCCAAAUGUCUCUGUCCUCCAAGAGGCAAGAGGCCGGGUAUGAAUCACAGGAAUUUACAGCCCAGCCCGGCGUGGGAUUUAUGAGUCUGCCUCAAGCCCGGCCAGCGGGGAGUGGCCGCCUGUCAGCCCCCCAUUGCCCCUGAUUGAUGAGGCUGUUUCCUGCCAAGAAAAACUCCCCUCUGUGGCAGACAGCGGAGGGAAAGUUUCCCAGGCCCAAGGGCCAGCCCAUCACCCCAUACCUGCCCAGACCUGGACCCCUGUCCUGCUCUCACAGCCCACACUUCCCAUUAUUCCCCCAGUUCCACACACUGACACCCAGCGAGGAUGUGCACCUGAAGGGCCUGGCUCCCCAGAGUUCUACCUUCCCAGACCUGCCAUGUACUCACCCCUUUGCAGCACCCUUCAAAACAGAGCCAUCGCGGGGCCCAAGGCUGGACAUGCCAAAUUCCAGAAUGGAUCUCUGAGGGAAUCUAGCACACACACAUUUCACAGAUGAGCCAGAGGUCCAGAGAGGGAUGGCUUUGCCCAAAGUCACACAGCAGCACAGUGGUGCGGCUGAGACCUGAGCCACAAGACCCUGGACUAGUCAUUUCCAGGUGUGGUCAUAGCUGAUUUCUGUGGUGCCGAUGGGGAUACUUUUCAUCUCCAAAUAAGGACUCCUUUCUGGAGAAUCUAUGGACUUGGGUUAGACUCCCUCCUCCACCACUUUGUGUCUGAAAGUCACAACAUCUCUGCGCUUCCUCACCUGAAAAAUGGGCUCAAAAGUGACCCUGACCUUCUGGGUCGUCAUGAGAUUCAAGUGACACAAUGCAGGAAAAGUCCCAGGACAGAGCUGGGCUCCUAGCAGGUGCUCCCUAGGUGAUGGAGAUGGCCCUUCAUCAUCCCUAAUGACUUAAAGGGCCCCACUGCCUGAUUUGCUAGGAGGAGAGGGUACAGUUUAGGGCAGGUAGAGCAUAAAGAACAAAGAGAGGAUGUAUAUAGGCCUGAAGGAUGGGAGUGAGGCUGCUUCCUGCCGGAAGAAAUCCUGAAAGGAUCCCUGGAGCAGGAGGCUUCAGGCAGAUGAUUCAGAGCUCCACCUCUCUCGCCCUAAGGCCACUUUGGGGCUUUCCAAGCACCACAGGGCUAAGGGGAAGCACCUUGCCCUAAAAGCCAAUGCCAGCCCAAGCUUCUUCCCUGGAUGACCUGCAGCCAAGCUCCUCACCUCUCUAGGCAUCUGCUAACCGGGCCAGAGAGAACCAGACAACACUCACUAGAGGCAUCCUCCCGUUCUGACCCUCAUGCAAGCCCAUCCCCUGCAGUACCCAAAUCUUGCCACUGGGUAGCAGCAGGGAGUAAAGCCGGGGUCCAGCCUCCUCCCUGCUGCAGAGGCUGCAGCCGCUGCUGGCCAGUCCCACCCCAGCACCAGGAGUUCUUUGCACCCCUACACCCUCAGUUCCUCCAGGGAACCAGAGCUGGGUAACCACCCACAUCCAGACAUGUGAUCCUCCCCCCCGCCCGGCCCCACAGAGCAGCCAGCAUUCUCUACACUUUUUCAGAUGGGGAAACUGAGGUCCAGAGAGGGGAGGACUUGUUCUAGGUCACACAGCAAUCACGGCAGAGCCAAGUGCCCAAACCUCUCUCCCAGCCUCCAGCCUCCUGUGGAGGCUGCGUGAAGGGACAGACUUGGACUGGAAUCCUGGAACUCUCCCCCGUGGCCGUGCGUUACUGGACAGGUUACCCACACUCUGUGACUCUCGGCUUAUGUAAGUGCCUGGCACAUGGCGAGUGCCCAGCUGCUUUGUUUCAGCUACAUAUUACACCCCACAAGAGCAGACAUGUGUCUAUCUUACCCUCCUCGGUGUCCCCAGAGCCCAGCAUGGGGAGGGGGGAUGUUCAGAGGAGAACUGAUGCCUGGAGGCCCCCUUCUGCCUGGCACUGGGUCUAAGGGUCUCCCUCCCCGAGUGCCUUCCACUCUCCCAGGUCAAUCUUUUCAUUCUUCUCCACCCUCGGCAGCCCUGCCUGGUGCCCACACGCCCUGGGCCCUGGGGUAGCGGCUUCUGCUCACCCCAGCUCACCUUUUCUCCCCAUCUCUCUCAGCCCCCUUUUUCUCUGUCCCUGCCUCUCCCUCGGUCCUGCUGAGCCCCUGCUCUGCACUACCUGCUGUGUUUACAAGACAACGAUGACAGGUUUUUAUUUCUCUCUUUUGUCUCCCUUCCUCCCCUGAAGGGAGACGUGCUUCCUCUCUCCCAGGAAAAAAUGAAGGUUCCAGAAGAGAAAAAGCAAAUAAAGGACAGUGGGACCAUGGGUACCUCCCAACCCCCACACCCACAUCUGCCCAUAGGCCACACACAUCCACACCAUCCUCCUCUUGUCAGGGCCUCUGAGAACUGCUCUGUUAUUUGGGGGGUAAUUGAAAAUGUCGGUCUUUAUUCUAGAGGAUAAACAGGGCCAAGGGACUGGGAGAGCAAGAGGGAGAGUGAGAGAAGAGAAAGGGAAGCCAGAGGGAGACAGAAAGACUUAGGGAAGAGCCAGAUGGGAGAGCAUGGACACAGAGGGAGAGAAGCCGGGAGGAACAGGACCGGGCAGACUCUCUGCCUCCAGUGAGCUUGGAGAUGCGGCUUCUGACCCGCACCAGGACUUCAGGGGCAUGUGCUCUCCAACAAGCUCCCCCAUCCACACCCCAGCAAGGGCCAGGAACAGGAUUGCUAGGUGGCAGGAGCACCUAUGCCAGUCCUCCUGUCCUUGGGUGGCCCCUGGAGUGGGCAUCUCUGAGUGCUCAAGGCAGGGAGAAGGGAUCUGGCUUGUCUUCGUGGACGAGAGCUCCCAACCAAAUGCACCCCAUCCAGAGGCAGGACCCCAGACUGGAGGGCUGACCCCCAGCUCACGCCCCAACGCCCUCCUGAGCGUGGAGACCCAAUCUCCCCUCCCACAGCCCCACCCCCCACCCCGUCUGCACCUGUGCCUGGUAGGGAGGGAGCACUCUCAUCAUUUACUUUACUUCUCCUGGGCAGUGAGAGGUACACCUGAGCCCGAGCAGAGGUAUGCAUGCACGUGAGAUAAAGAGGCGCCUGGAGAGGGGGUGUGCCUAUGUAGUAAAAGGCAGGGCCCCUCUUCCUCCCGGCCCAGGGUCACCAUCCUCCCAGCUCCUGGGAGCCAGAGUGACAACUAGCACUCAGGGUCUCUCCAGCCACAACAGAAUGACAGAGACCAGCAGCCCCAGCCGGUAUCGAGGAGGAGGAGCGUCAUGUGAUUGCAGUGUUAUUACCACCACGCCCCGCGGGGAUGCCCCGUGAAGGUCAGGCCUCUCCUGCCCUGGGAGAGAAGGGAGGAAACUCUGGAGGGCAGCGUGCCAUUCACUGACCCUCACCCCCACCCCACUGUCUGCUCACGGUUAGAAGAAAGCUGCUUCCAUCCUCCCCCCAAGCUGCUCUCCAAACACCUGUUGGGCAUGGCUGGGCCUUCACCAUUUCUUGGUACCCCCAGGUGCAGCCAGACCCUGGCAUAGGGCAGGAGCUCAGCAAAUGUUUAUUGGAUGAAUAAAUGAAUGAUCGUGUCUGUA